UACGUAGGGUGCAAGCGUUAAUCGGAAUUACUGGGCGUAAAGCGUGCGCAGGCGGUUUUGUAAGUCUGUCGUGAAAGCCCCGGGCUCAACCUGGGAAUUGCGAUGGAGACUGCAAGGCUUGAAUCUGGCAGAGGGGGGGUAGAAUUCCACGUGUAGCAGUGAAAUGCGUAGAUAUGUGGAGGAACACCGAUGGCGAAGGCAGCCCCCCUGGGUCAAGACUGACGCUCAUGCACGAAAAGCGUGGGGGAGCAAACAGG
rnacentral:rRNA from 1 species